rnacentral:rRNA from 1 species
AUUGAACGCUGGCGGCAGGCUUAACACAUGCAAGUCGAGCGGAGAUGAGGUGCUUGCACCUUAUCUUAGCGGCGGACGGGUGGGUAAUGCUUAGGAAUCUGCCUAUUAGUGGGGGACAACAUUCCGAAAGGAAUGCUAAUACCGCAUACGCCCUACGGGGGAAAGCAGGGGAUCUUCGGACCUUGCGCUAAUAGAUGAGCCUAAGUCGGAGUAGCUAGUUGGUGGGGUAAAGGCCUACCAAGGCGACGACCUGUAGAGGGUCUGAGAGGAUGAUCCGCCACACUGGGACUGAGACACGGCCCCGACUCCUACGGGAGGCAGCCGUGGGGAAUAUUGGACAAUGGGCGUAAGCCUGAUCCAGCCAUGCCGCGUGUGUGAAGAAGGCCUUUUGGUUGUAAAGCACUUUAAGCGAGGAGGAGGCUACCUGGAUUAAUACUCUAGGAUAGUGGACGUUACUCGCAGAAUAAGCACCGGCUAACUCUGUGCCAGCCGCCGCCGUAACAC